rnacentral:rRNA from 1 species
UACGAAGGUCCCAAGCGUUAUCCGGAUUUAUUGGGUUUAAAGGGUGCGUAGGCGGGCUAUUAAGUCAGUGGUGAAAGCCCCAAGCUUAACUUGGGAACUGCCAUUGAUACUGAUGGUCUUGAGUACAUUUGAGGUGGGCGGAAUGUGUCAUGUAGCGGUGAAAUGCUUAGAUAUGACACAGAACACCGAUUGCGAAGGCAGCUCACUAAACUGUAACUGACGCUGAGGCGCGAAAGCUAGGGGAGCAAACAGG